CCUACGGGAGGCAGCAGUGGGGAAUAUUGCGCAAUGGGGGAAACCCUGACGCAGCAACGCCGCGUGAAGGAUGAAGGCUUUCGGGUUGUAAACUUCUUUAGUCGGGGACGAAUGGAUGACGGUACCCGAAGAAUAAGCCACGGCUAACUACGUGCCAGCAGCCGCGGUAAUACGUAGGUGGCAAGCGUUGUCCGGAAUUACUGGGUGUAAAGGGCGUGUAGGCGGGUUAUUAAGUCAGAUGUGAAAUUCCAGGGCUCAACCCUGGCGCUGCAUCUGAAACUGAUGAUCUUGAGUACUGGAGAGGGAAGCGGAAUUCCUAGUGUAGCGGUGAAAUGCGUAGAUAUUAGGAGGAACACCAGUGGCGAAGGCGGCUUUCUGGACAGUAACUGACGCUGAGGCGCGAAAGCGUGGGGAGCGAACAGGAUUAGAUACCCUGGUAGUCCACGCCGUAAACGAUGGAUACUAGGUGUGAGGGGGAUUACCUCUUCGUGCCGGAGUUAACACAAUAAGUAUCCCACCUGGGGAGUACGGCCGCAAGGUUGAAACUCAAAGGAAUUGACGG
rnacentral:rRNA from 2 species